AGCUUGUAGUGAAUGAGUUCAUGGCCUUCCUGGGUAACCUGGUGUCGGCUCAGACCGUCUACCUGUGUGCCUGUCUGAAGAUGGUGGUCUCCCACUUCACUCCAAAGAGGGUCACCAUCCAUGAGGGAGGAGUUGACAUCUCUGACUCAGAUGAUGAAGAUGAGAACCUUGUGAAAAACUUUGACCAGUGUCACGGAGCGCUGCAGCUCAUCAUCAGAUACGUUCCCUC